rnacentral:rRNA from 1 species
UGGGGAAUAUUGCGCAAUGGGGGGAACCCUGACGCAGCCAUGCCGCGUGAAUGAAGAAGGCCUUCGGGUUGUAAAGUUCUUUCGGUAUUGAGGAAGGUUGAUGUGUUAAUAGCACAUCAAAUUGACGUUAAAUACAGAAGAAGCACCGGCUAACUCCGUGCCAGCAGCCGCGGUAAUACGGAGGGUGCGAGCGUUAAUCGGAAUAACUGGGCGUAAAGGGCACGCAGGCGGUUAUUUAAGUGAGGUGUGAAAGCCCUGGGCUUAACCUGGGAAUUGCAUUUCAGACUGGGUAACUAGAGUACUUUAGGGAGGGGUAGAAUUCCACGUGUAGCGGUGAAAUGCGUAGAGAUGUGGAGGAAUACCGAAGGCGAAGGCAGCCCCUUGGGAAUGUACUGACGCUCAUGUGCGAAAGCGUGGGGAGCAAACAGGAUUAGAUACCCUGGUAGUCCACGCUGUAAACGCUGUCGAUUUGGGGAUUGGGCUUAGAGCUUGGUGCCCGCAGCUAACGUGAUAAAUCGACCGCCUGGGGAGUACGGCCGCAAGGUUA